AACAGGAUGUGUCUUCAUGUCUUGCAAUUUCUGCUCAAUGAUAUGUUUAAUAGCCGCAGUACCCUGACUGUGCAAAGGUAGCAUAAUCAAUUGGCUCAUAAUUGGAGUCUUGUAUGAAUGAAUAUUUGGUUAAUAACUGUCUUACUUGACGUAAAUGAACUUACUUAAUAAGUGAAAAUACUUAUAAAUACAUAAAAGACGAGAAGACCCUAGAAAUUUUGAUUAUGUAGAAGUAAUCUAUUCGUUUUUGUUGGGGCGACAAAAUAACAUUAAACUUAUUUUAACAUAUUUGCACUUUCUAUAGUGAAAAUAAAAAUUACUCUAGGGAUAACAGCAUAAUUAUUAUUAGUUUGUGACCUCGAUGUUGGAUUAGGAAAUUUACUAUUUAAAAGGUAUUAAAUUAUGUUCUGUUCGAACAAUAUAUCCUACAUG
rnacentral:rRNA from 1 species